GAACCACACCCCCCUUCUUUUCUGUCCCAUCCUCCAUCACCCUCUCAUCCCGUGUCUUUCUUCACAGGUCAAACUGCGCAAGUCCAAAUGGAGGAAGAAGUCUGGCAGAGGAAGCAUGAUUUUCAUCAGCGAAGAAAAAGAGAGGAUGAGCACCUUGGACAGCAAACGGGUGAGUCCGGGCCGACCAGCAUGUCAAAAGGCUCGGCGUGGUUAAAAGAAAGGAACUUCAGCACUGCCGCUGCACGGAGGAACCUAAAGGAAGAGGCUAAAUGCGCGUGUGUGGUUCUCUGUCCACUCCUAGCUUUCAAAGAAGCAAGAGUUCCGCAGCGACACAAACCUAUCAGAGCCCAGUAUGGAGGGCAGCUUGGCCAGCAUUAACUCCAGAUCACUGCCUGCUAUAACUGGUCUGUCUCUGUCCGUAGCCAAUGGGAGUGAGGAGGUGGAGAAUGUGCGGUCCAAGCGAGAUAGUAAGAGUGUGUCUGUAUGUUUGCCAUCUGACCGCACCAGUGACCGCCGCUCAAAAGGGGUCAUCAGCCUGAUCUUUAAAUCCCGGGUAAUUUUACACACACACACACACACACCCACACACACACACACACACACACACACACACACACACACACACACACACACACACACAAACUGAUUUCAUCUUCUUGACAGAUCCUGUAUCUCUUACACUUCUUAUUCCUGAUACUCCAAACAAUGUCUGUUAUCUUAUGUGUGUAUAAUUCACAGCUGGGCUCCAAGGGUGAAGAGGGGAAACCAUCAGACUCUUCUGAAGAUGCCACACAUUUCUAACUUCUGUUCCAAAAAGACAAGUUAGGCCUGCUCGUGUACCUUCACUGUAGCAGCGUUAAGAGAGUUCCAAACAACCGAUACCAUAAAGGAAGUAGCAGGACCACGUCAGUGUCCUGGUUGACACUUUAUUAUGGGUGUAUGACGAUGUAAUGCUUGAUGCAUAAUCGUUAUGAAAUGAUGAGAUAAUUAUUUAAUGAUAGUCUGUAACACAGUUAAGCGCAGAAUCAUGAUAGCAGUUAUUAGCUGCUCAAACCGUGAUUCUAAUAAAAAAUAUUGCACAGCAAUGUAUUCGUCAUUAAAAUCAGAAUUUAGGUGCUCUUGUAUGUUUGAAAUGGGGGUAAUAGUGUGGGCUAAAACCCGAUUCCAUGAAGAGAGUUAGAGUUAGCCUUCACUUUUACAUCUAUCUAGUAUUGUAUUGGAUAUUAAUUUUAAAACAAAAACAAAUUGCUGUACCAGUUCCCAGGAACUUUUAUCAUUGUGAAUGCUACACAAACAAUUGUGAAUGUAAAGAUCAGAAGGAUUUUAAACUUAACUCCCAACCCUUGGCCAUUUUAAAAUAUCCACAUGUGAAUUUUAUUGUUGAUAAAUUAUCUUUUGAUAUGCUCUUGGAGCUCUUUGAGGACAAAUAAUCACAUCUGUAUAAAAAUGCUGAUGUUGUUACUGAGGGAAUGUUGAUGAAUGCUGAUAAAUGAUUUGAAAUCAUGGCUGUAUGAUGACCGCGCAGGGUCCAUCCUCUUACGCCCGGUGCGGAUCUCUGACCCUGCAGAGCUUUGGGCUAUUUCCCGUUUUGCAGCAGGGGGCCAGGCCUUGACAGCAGGCUCACUGUUUUUAACUUUGACUGUAAUCCCAUCCCAAAUAAAUAAAGUGUUAAUUUCAGGAAUUUGUCAUUUCCAUAUAUCUAUUGUCAUUGUCAAGACAGUGAUUGCUGGUUCAUAACUGACAGUUUUCAAGCUUUUCACCGGUUAUUUACAAAUUUUCUGUUUGGCAUCAGUUAAUCACAAAGUGAAUAGUUUUAGACAUUUGGAAUAAGAUUAUUAGUCAGAUAUUUAUGUAAAUGUAUAAAGGCAAUUAAGUCAUAAGUGUAGACAAUUUCCUGACAAAAUGUGCUACAGAAUCUGAAAUUGUCUUUGCUUUUUUCAUUCUUUUCUUUAGUAUAGUUCUGAGAAGUUGUAACUGACGACCGACUCAUCAAAGAAC
ensembl:lncRNA